rnacentral:lncRNA from 1 species
AUUAGUUUGUGCCCCUUGGUCUUCAAGCAUCGUUCUUUUUUCUUGAUUCGAUUUUAACUUAUGCUAUAUUGUUAUUCCCCAGUUAUCUUCAAAUGGGUCGACGUGGGACGAGAUAGAUUUCGAGUUCUUGGGGAAUUUAAGUGGCGAUCCGUACAUUCUUCACACCAACGUGUUCAGCCAAGGCAAGGGCAACCGAGAGCAGCAAUUCUAUCUCUGGUUCGACCCAACUGCUGAUUUCCACACCUACUCCAUCCUCUGGAAUCCACAACGCAUCAUGUAAGAGUCUGAAAAGCUCAAAAUGCGACCUUACUUGCAUUUACAUUGCGCUACACUAUUCUCUGUAGCAUUUACUCAAAAACCGGUGUGUGCGACCAUUGCAGAUUCUCAGUGGACGGGACUCCCAUCAGAGAGUUCAAGAACGCAGAGUCGAUCGGCGUUCCUUUCCCCAAGGCCCAGCCCAUGAGGAUAUUCUCGAGCCUCUGGAACGCGGACGACUGGGCAACCAGAGGCGGGCUCGUGAAAACGGACUGGACACAAGCGCCCUUCACUGCUUCCUACAGCAACUUCAAUGCCGAUAACGCCUGCGUUUGGUCAUCUGGGUCGUCAUCUUGCACUUCAUCUUCAUCUUCUUCGGAUGGUAAUGCAUGGCUAUCAGAAGAGCUCGACUCAACAAGCCAAGAGAGCCUGAAGUGGGUGCAAAGCAACUACAUGAUCUACAACUACUGCACGGAUGCCAAAAGAUUCCCCCAAGGCUUCCCUCCCGAGUGCUCCAUGUCCUAGACGACACAAGACAUUGAUUUUGUAAAAAAUUCGCUGUUCUUUUUCUUCUUUUUCGAGCCAAUUCUAUUAAUUUGUUUUGUGGCCGAGAAGCAAUUGAUAUUUUUUUAUUCUUUGACGAUUGUAGCAUUCCUAUCUUUACUCAAUAAAACAGAAAAUCAUCUUGGAUUUCAUAGUAUUGCUGCGACUCAGUGAGUGGAUACAACACAGAACAAAAUUAAGGGAAUGAAAAUGGAUUUUACAGGCCAGCUCCUGCCUUGAAUAUGAAACUGAUGACACAAUUGAUUACGCCGUCGUAGCUCAGAAAAUUAGAUAAACGCUACGUUGAACAAGUUCUGUUUUUAUGUUGAAUUCAACUCCGAUGUCCUCAUCGAGGGACUGAUUUGGUCGACAUUUCUUCCUGGUCCUUGUGCUCCACAGAAGGAUCAAACAUAGAAAACCGAUCAUCACAAUACCAUCAUGACCAGACAAGCUUUCCAAAUCUGCAAACUCAAAGAACAUCCUUGACUCCAACACAGAAUCAACCAUGAUUUACGGCCGAUCAACCUCAAGUCAACCCAACUUAAAGAGCAAGGUGCCGCAAACUAGGAUCCAAAAAUCGUACUGUGUGCCUGCAACCCCUCCCGCAACUGACGGUACUCUUAGCUGAUUUCACAAACUCUAAUGUUAAAUAGCUUCGGGGACUCUAAUGGCAAUGCUGCACAACCGAACACUUGUAAGUGAGAUAUAACAGGAGUAGUAUCAUAAAGAACCUUCCGAGGAGACAAAUUGUCUAGAACAGGAGUUGGGAGAUCAAGUGAACUGCAGUCUCAAAAGCAAAUUCCCAGAGAUGACAAGGAAGAGCAGACUCAUCAUGAGACCAAGGCCAGUUUCCACUGUAUUGGCAAUGCUUGCAUUCAACGGUCCCAUUUUGAAAUAGAGAUUAUGCACAAUAAAUGCGCCAAUGAAUGCCAUGACUGAGAAGGUAAGAGUGCAUGGUAGAGGAUAAGAACUCGGGUGCUCCAUCACACUAAAUCAUCUAAAGCUUGCACUGAAGUUGAGUCUUCAUAAGGGCAUGAAAGGCUUUAAAAAUGUUGAAAAAUUGAUCUUGAGAUGCGAGGGGAUAAAGCCAAGUAAAUCAAUAAAAUUCAUCAAUAAAACAGCCGUAAUAUUUAUAAAACAGGAGGCAGACCCCAAACAUCAAAAUGAACUAGCUGAAGAGAGGAAGCCCUAGGUCUGUGUACGUCAAAUCACAUAAAUUGUUCCGUCUAGGCGUUCUCCGAAGGAUGGAGAAGAAAGGAGACCAGAGAUUGUGGCAGCAGGAGUUGUGGGUCUGGUGAUGGUUGUAGUGGAAGGCUGGGAUUGUUGUAAAGUUGUUUGUUCGGCAGAGGAGGAAUUUGCAGAGGAAUUUGAGUCACUCGUAUUUAGAUCGAUGGGCUUUUGCCUUUUUGAUACCAAGACAGAAAUAGAGAUGCAGAAAGAAAACAGAGAAUAUAGAAGACAUAAGAAAAGUGUGUGUGUAUAUAUAAAUAUAGAAAGAAUCUCUAGAGAUAGAUAUUGACAACAAAAUUUGUAACCACCAAUGAAGAUAAUAUUUGAAUCAAUCAAGGAUUACAUAUUAUGCGUAGAUUCUGAUUGUGUGGUGAUUCUGGUAACGUUAUCAAUCUCGGAUUGGAUAUCAUGCGAAUAUCUUGAUUAUACUGUGAGUCAUAUGCGAGCUAGAGAUAAUAUUUGAUUCUGGUGUGAGCUCGAAUAGUUAGCAGUGGAUUGCGUCAACAGAUAGCUUCAGAUAGAAUCUUCCUGAUAAUCACUCAAAUCCUAAGUUUGUCAUCCAUACAAAUUGCACAACCAAAGAAGCAUCGGCAUAAUGCUGCUGCAAAUUCAAGACGUCAAAGCAUAUAUAUAAGGCAAAACCUGAAGAUUACCUUCCUCCAACCAAACAAAGUCCAUUUCCAUCUUCUUUUCCCAGCUAAAAGAAUGCACCAAUCACCAGUAAAAGAAAACUCCUUGUACUUAUCCUUUCAAACCAUCCUUGCAAAUUGUCAAUAUGCGGAAUUUCUGAAAAAAGGUGAUAAUAAUCGACUCUUUUAAAUCAGAGAGAAAUAUAAGUUGAACAAAGAGACAGAACACGAAUACACGAAUAAUUUAAAGGAAAUAAAAAUUGAAUAGAGGGAAAGAUAAGAAAGGAUCUGAAACAGAGGAUUUCGGGUGCCUCUGCAGACAUUUGCUGCACGGAAUUCUCUUCAUGAUCUCAACUUGCAAUCUCCGUCAAAAAAUUUUGAUUGAACAAAUAAAGAGGUUAACCCGAGUGAAGUUAACAAAAAUUGAUUGACUUGAGCCAACGCAACAUUCGGCUGAACUUUUUUUACAUUUUAGAACCAAAAAAGCAUGCAUAAUCUGAACAAUUUUAAAUGUAAUUUAUUAUAUUCUCUCCAAAGAUUUGAGGUGUUGUAUGUUAAGUUGAGGUGAAAUAGCAAAGUUAAAUUUGAAAAGGUAAGAAAUGAGAAAAAUAAAAUAGAAUCGGAAUGUAUCUAGAUAGAACGCAUUCCCGAAUCGUACAUGUAGAAUAGUGGGAGGAGACAUGUGGGUUCUCAAAGAGUACGAGUUUUCAAUAUGUCCGCUCUUUGGUGUCGAAAGAGAACGGACUUUUGCUUUCCAUGAAAGUUUUUAGAUGCUUCUCCUAUAAUGUCUCUGCCUAAGAUACAUGAAGAUGAUAGUCGACGUGAUCUCUAAUGUAUGCAAAUUAUAGUGCACGGGAAGAAGGUACGUACCCCACCAUAUGAGAUCCACCGACAUUAGGUGAAGGAAAAGCAGCGACCGCUCAUGGUGAAGCAUGUAGCUGGUAGGGGUGAGCAGCGGUCUAGGGUCGACCCUGGACCGACCCUAGACCGGCCCAACCCUGCCGGUCUUGGUCCGGUUCCCAAGGGGACCGGGUCGGUCCUUGAUCCUGAAUUUCCAGAACCAACACUGUGCGGGUUGGUCCUCGAUCCUAAGAGUUUUUGGUCAGUCCAACCCUGGACCAACCCUGUAUAUUAUAUUAUAUUAUUUAUAAUUAUUUUAUAUAUUCAAACCUAAGUAAAAUGUCUGUUAUAUUAUAUUAUAUUAAGAUGUUAUAUCAAUAGAACUAAUAAUAAUUUCAAUUUAAAACUUUUGUUGAGUAUUAAUUAUGUGUCAUUUGUUUUGUUUUCAGGUAUUUAGAAGUUCAAGUGAAUUAACAAAAUGUGAAGUUAUAUAUUCAUGGUUUAUAUUAAGUAUUUUGAACUUUUUAUGGUUUAAUUGUAUUUUAUUAAUGAAUUUUAGCUGCACUUUAUUUUUCAAUUUGUGUCAAAUGGUAUAAAUUUUUUAAGAGUAGAGUAAUACUGCAGUUGCUACGGUGAUUUGCUAGUCAAGUGGUGUGAAGCUCAUUUUUUGGUUGAGUGGACUUUACAAUCAAAUGCAAGAAAACGCUUUUGCAUAUGGUGUUAUGAAUAUUAAAGAUAGAUGAUUACAAGAACUUUCCAUCUUGUCCCAUAUCUCGAUGAGCGGUUAAUAGCUACGGAAUUUCUAUUAUUGUGUCAUCUUAAAUUUACUAAAUAUGUAUUGGUAUUUAUAAUUUAGUUGCACAAUGCCGCAUUAUCGAUGGAUGUGUAAUUUGAAUUUGUAGGUUUACUUUUUUAAGGAGUAUAAAAAAUAAGACGAAAAAAAUUAUUGAUCGGUCUCGGGUUGACCCUGAAACCGGACCGAACCCAUUGGGUCGGUCCGGUCCUUGGUCCCAAGCUCAAUAGGGUCGGUUCUCGGUCCUAAAAAUUGAGGACCGACACUGUAUGGGUGGGUCCUAGGGUUAGGGGAUGGCCCGAAUCAACCCGGACCAUGCUCACCCCUAGUAGCUGGUGGUGAACAGACGAUAGAGCCCGUCUCCGUGUGGGGAAGCUCCAUGUCGUCUCGAACCGCGUUGCCUCAUAAUUUAUUUGCAUGCUGGACGUGCGUUGGUAGUGGUAGUGUCACUGUUUGUCCUCUUCUUUUUUAAAGCAACUUCUAUAUUGGAAGCCAACUGUCCACAGCUGAGUUAGCGUGGGGGGUUGACUCCCACCAAUCCUUCGUUGCCUCUCCUCAUCUCUCACACGUUUUCUCCCAUCUUCAUCUUCGGUACGAAGCUAUAAAUACCAUCUCCACAUCUCUCCCAUUUCAUCAAUCAACGCAAACACUCCACAUCUCUCUCUCCUCUUCAGUCCUCACUCUCAUAUCAUCUCAUUGAGAUUUGCUUCUCUUCUUCAACUACAGCAGCAGCAGCAGCAGACAGAACACGCCCAAUAUGGCCUCCCUUUCUACUUCUUCGCUUUGCAUCGCCACUCUGCUUCUCGUGGUCGUUUCUUGGGGGACGUUUGCUUCCGCCCGCAACUUCUAUCAAGACUUCGACAUAACCUGGGGUGAUGGCCGAGCUCAGAUCCUCAACAACGGCGACCUCCUCACUCUCUCCCUCGACAAGGCCUCCGGCUCCGGCUUCCAGUCCAAGAACGAGUACUUGUUCGGCAAGAUUGACAUGCAGCUCAAGCUAGUUCCCGGCAACUCCGCUGGCACCGUCACCGCAUACUAUGUAAGUCUCCUUCUUAAUCAGUUUGUGCCCCUUUAUCUUCAAGCUUCCUUCUUUUUUUCUCGAUCAGAUUUUUAAUUUUUGCUAUGUUGUUAUUCUACAGUUAUCUUCAAACGGGUCGGCGUGGGAUGAGAUAGACUUCGAGUUCUUGGGGAACUUGAGCGGCGAUCCAUACAUUCUCCACACCAACGUCUUCAGCCAAGGCAAGGGUAACCGAGAGCAGCAAUUCUAUCUCUGGUUCGACCCAACUGCUGAUUUCCACACCUACUCCAUCCUCUGGAAUCCACAACGCAUCAUGUAAGAGUCUGAAAAGCUCAAAAUGCGACCUUACUUGCAUUUACAUUGCGCUACACUAUUCUCUGCGGCAUUUACUCAAAUACCUUUGUGCGCGACCAUUGCAGAUUC